rnacentral:misc_RNA from 1 species
GGUUGGAGUGUGCUCUGUCACUACUACAGGAGGAUGCAUAUAGAUAGUGGGUGACAGUAUCUAGAGUAGUACAGCCUGCACAGAUCACCUGGGAGUUCUUUCUGGCUGAAUUCAGAAAGAAAUACAUCAGUCAUGUGUACUUGGAGGCCAGAAGAAGAGAAUUCCUGGCACUAAGACAGAGGCAGCUGACAGUCUCCGAAUAUGAGCGAGAAUUCGUGAGACUUAGCGAAUAUGCAUUGGAGUUGAUGCCGACAGAGGUUGAUAAAUGCAGAAGAUUUGAGGACGGACUGAAUGACAACAUCAGGUUGAUAGUGACAUCUCACCACUUCACAGAUUUCUCUCUGUUGAUAGCAUCAGCCCUUGAUGUGGAGAGAGUCAGAAAUGAAGAGCAGUCCAGAAAGGAUAGGCAACGCAAGAGGGGUUCUGGGUCUGGUCAGUCCGGUUCAGCAGACACGGGUAGUAAGAGACCCAAGGAGUCUCAGGGUCAGACUCAAGGUCGGGGCAAGAAACAGAAGUCUCGGUUUGCUCCAAGGAGAGGAGGAGGACAAUCUGGUGCAUCAGUGGGUAGUUCACCUGGUGCAGCUACACGGGGAUCAGCCCCACCACCUGCUUGUGUACAUUGUGGUAGACCCCACAGAGGAGAGUGCAGAUUGUUGACAGGUGGAUGUUUCAGAUGUGGGUCUACGGAUCACUUCCUGAAGGAUUGUCCACAGAGGAACACUAGUGCUCCCACUGCUCCACCUCAGAUGGAGAGGUCUGCCCCAGCAGCACAGAGGGGUAGGAGACCUGCGAGGCCUGAU